CGUGGGGGCCAUCGAGGGGUGCGGGUCGCCGCGGGGAGCGAGGAGGGUGCGGUUCGGGAACGCGACGGUGAUGGGGACGACGCAGGAGGAUUCGAAGGAGAACGACGGGCGCGGCGAGAAAAAAAAAAGAGCGAUAGAAUUACACCAUUACACCAUUACCAUUACGCCAUUACACCAUUACCAUUACACUAUUACACCAUUACCAUUACACCAUUACACCAUUACCAUUACACCAUUACACCAUUACACCAUUUACGCCAUUACACCAUUACACCAUUACACCAUUUGCCGACGGAGAAGAACACGCGCGGGUCUUUUUCAUUUUCUUCUUCUUCCUGCUGCGGAGGACUUCGACUCCCUCGAUCUCCGCUGACG
rnacentral:lncRNA from 1 species